rnacentral:lncRNA from 1 species
GUAAGACGAGGAGGAGGAGAAGUUAGCCUAGCUGGCCAAGGAGCCAGUCCACUCCCGCUAACUUUGUGGUCAUCUGGUAUCAGAAAAUGACUAUAAGGUAAUAAUUUUUUAGAAAACUAAAAAGAACAACUUUAACAUUGUUUACAAACUUCAAACAAUUUGCAACUUAUUUGCUUUGAUAAUAAAUAAAACUAACUCAUGCAUAUGUAUCAGAAAACUAAUUGAACAAUAUUUUAUGUAUCCAUUCCAUAAAAGGCCCUAAGUAUGUUCAGGACCAUAUACACAAGCAAAAUGCACUUAAAAGGUUGAACAAUGCAGGGAAAAAUAGAUAUGAUAUUGGUUGACUAUGACAUAACCACAUCAAUAAACUAUCAGGACCAAUCAUAAAUGAUAGUAUUAGUGGCCAACAAAAAAAUAAAACUGCCAUUAAACUUCAGUUCUUAUCCUCCUAAAGGGAAACCAGAGCUGAUUGCAACCUUAUGAACAGCCACAAAAACCAAGUAGUCAUUCAAGUAACUUUGCGAGCACCUAUUACAAAUUUGCAUCAAAUGAUAAUAAACUUGCUCUUUUAACGUCCUUUUUGUGAUAAUUUACUCUAGCUAAGUUAACCAGCUAAAAGAUACCUCUAUCUGCCAUUUUUACUGCUGUCUCAUGUAUGCUUGCCGAUUCUCAAGAAUGACAAAAAGCAAGAGACAGGAAACUUACGUUCAGAAUAAGGUGUUAUGCAUGCUUCCAUAUUCACACCCCAAACAGCAUCAGGAUCAUCAUCAGACCGACAAAGUGGUGGUUGAGUACCAGCUGGUCUUUCCAUGUAACAGUCAUUGUUUAGAGGCUUGACCCAAAUCACUGUUUGGUUCCUUUUUUCUGCUAUUUUCCAGCACAUGCGUUCAACAAGUGCACUCAUUUCUCUCCAUAUUCUGAGAUCCUCUUCAUCCUGAGCAUACGCUUCUGGAGAGGAGUAGGCAAAAUAGCCUCCAGGCCUUAAUACCCGAUCUAGUUCAAGAAGAAGGAUACCAUCCCUCUGAAGCCAAUCGAUUCUACAACGGGAACAGUGAGCAAAUUCAAAUGAUCUGCUUGGAUAGGGAAGCCUUUUUGUACCAAGA